GUGCUUUCUUUAGCAGCACAUAUACUAGGGCUGGAAUGAUAUAGAGAAGGUUAGCAUGGCCCUUACACAAAGAUGACCUAAAUUCGUGCAGUGUUCCAUGUUUUU
rnacentral:snRNA from 1 species